rnacentral:tRNA from 1 species
GGGCCCAUAGCUCAGCUGGUUAGAGCACCUGACUCAUAAUCAGGGGGUCCUAGGUUCAAGCCCUAGUGGGCCCACUA